rnacentral:rRNA from 1 species
GAUGAACGCUGGCGGCGUGCCUAAUACAUGCAAGUCGAGCGAACGGACGAGAAGCUUGCUUCUCUGAUGUUAGCGGCGGACGGGUGAGUAACACGUGGAUAACCUACCUAUAAGACUGGGAUAACUUCGGGAAACCGUAGCUAAUACCGGAUAAUAUUUUGAACCGCAUGGUUCAAAAGUGAAAGACGGUCUUGCUGUCACUUAUAGAUGGAUCCGCGCUGCAUUAGCUAGUUGGUAAGGUAACGGCUUACCAAGGCAACGAUGCAUAGCCGACCUGAGAGGGUGAUCGGGCACAAUGGAACUGAGGCACGGGCCAGGACCCGAAGGGGGGGAGGAGGGGGGAAACCUGCGGCAUGGGGGGAAGGCUGGAGGAGGCAAGGCGGGGGGGGGGAGGAGGGCCUCGGGUUGGUAAAACCUUUUAUUAGGGAAGAACAUAUGUGUAAGUAACUGUGCACAUCUUGACGGUACCUAAUCAGAAAGCCACGGCUAACUACGUG